GGAUUAGAUACCCUGGUAGUCCACGCAGUAAACGGUGAUCACUAGGUGUAGCGGGUAUUGACCCCUGCUGUGCCGCAGCUAACGCAUUAAGUGAUCCGCCUGGGGAGUACGGCCGCAAGGUUAAAACUCAAAGGAAUUGACGGGGCUCACACAAGCGGUGGAGCAUGUGGCUUAAUUCGAAGCAACGCGAAGAACCUUAUCCUGGGUUUGACAUGUAUGGAUUAACUCCUGGAAACAAGAGCCACGCCUUUUAGGUGGAACAUACACAGGUGCUGCAUGGCUGUCGUCAGCUCGUGCCG
rnacentral:rRNA from 1 species